rnacentral:rRNA from 1 species
CCAUGCAUGCCUAAGUUCAUACCUUUACACGGUGAAACUGCGAAUUGCUCAGUAAAUCAGUUAUCGUUUAUUUGAUUGUACCGAGGCCCAAAAGGCUUCACACACUGGAUAACUGUGGGAAACUAGAGCUAAUACAUGUAAACUGCUAUCUCGGGAUAGCGUGCAUUUAUUCGCCUAGGAAACCAACACGUCUCGGGUUAUACCUGACCAGUAUAUACUGAUGCGUCCCCUUAAAAGGAUGCAUUGGUAUAUGCCCAGGACAACGAUCCAGACGUUCACGGUGAUUCUGAAUAACUGAUGCUGAUCGUACAGGGCCUAUGUGCCCACGAUAUUUCAAUCAAAUUUCUGCCCUAUCAUAUUUGUUGGUAGGGUAGCGGCCUACCAAGGUGACGACGGGUAACGGGGAAUCAGGGUUCGAUUCCGGAGAGGGAGCCUGAGAAACGGCUACCACAUCCAAGGAUGGCAGCAGGCGCGCAAACUAUCCAAUCCAGACAAUGGGAGAUGGUGACGAGGUAUAUUGGAACUCACCGGCUAUGCCGGUCGAGUUACCAGAUAGACCCUAAUUUAAACCAAUAGGAAUCAAUCAACGGGAGGGCAAGUCUGGUGCCAGCAGCCGCGGUAAUACCAGCUCCCGUAGUAUAUACGUUAGUUGUUGCGGUUAAAAAGCUCGUAGUUGAAAUACGGCGCGCUCGAAAGAUGGUUCAGGAGUGUGGCUGCCUUGUGUGCAGUUUGUGGAGAGGCAGAAGUAGCGCCUCUUUGUGUAACAAAAUGUUAUAUCAAUAUCACUCCUAUUGACCCUCUGCCGUAAAAAAGCAGUUGGAAGAAAAAGUAUGCUAUUGGUAUAGCAUUCUGUUGCGCAAUCUGUGUGUCUACCCUGCCUCUCCCUUAUACCCCCGAAAAAUCAUUAGAGUGCGCUUUCUCGUUGGGCCCACUCGACUCUCCUUCAAUGGUGACGGGUGAAGUCCAGCGAAUUGUGCCUUGAGUAAAAUAGAGUGCUCCAAGCAGGCUGUGAUUAAUUUCAUCGCCCGCAUACUCCAGCAUGGAACGAAUGUUCAAUUGCUUAAACCACCCCGCUGGCCUAGUUUGUUGGUUCAACACCGAGAGUAUGAUUUGUCUCGUUCGCGAGUCACAUUUCAUACUCUCGGCUAGGCCGUGUCCCCAGGACAGUGUACCCGGAGACCCUUCUAUGACAAUCCAGUGGUUCAUAAAACUCCCCCCUGGGACUCAUGUUAUUCUGUGUGGGUUGAUUUAUAGUAUCCAACCACUCUAUAGCAUGUCUGCGUGUAUAGUGAUAUGUGCAAACUAACACUAUACACCUCUCAUCUGUUGUAUUUGUUGUGAUGCUAUUAUCAACCAACAACACACAGUCUAACACCCAGUGCGUGGCGAGGCCACUCUGCCAUAGAUGUGUAUAUAAUGAGCAUCUAUAUCACACCCCUGAUCGGUGUGUGAUAUACUGAUUGUUCUCAUUAUAUUUUAGUCACCGGGAGCAAUGCACUCCCUGUGUAUGGGUAUCGGUUAACAGAGACAUUUGGGGGCAUUAGUAUUUGGCCGCGAGAGGUGAAAUUCUUAGACCGGUCAAAGACUAACAAUUGCGAAAGCAUUUGCCAAAGGUGUUUUCAUUAAUCAAGAACGAAAGUUGGAGGAUCGAUGACGAUUAGAUACCGUCGUAGUUCCAACUGUAAACUAUGCCAACCAGGGCUCAGGCCGGAUCAUUUAUAUUACAAAUAUUAUGGAUCCAGGUUGGGCCCCCCGGGAAACCUAAAGUUUUUGGGUUCCGGGGGGAGUAUGGUUGCAAGGCUGAAACUUAAAGGAAUUGACGGAAGGGCACCACCAGGAGUGGAGCCUGCGGCUUAAUUUGACUCAACACGGGGAAUCUCAUCAGGUCCGGACAUCGGAAGGAUUGACAGACUGACAGAUCUUUCAUGAUUCGGUGGAUGGUGGUGCAUGGCCGUUCUUAGUCGGUGGAGUGAUUUGUCUACUUUAUUGUGAUAACGGACGAGACUGCGACCUUUAUUUUGGCCGUAUGAAAUUUUCAACCGGCUCCGCUAGACGCAUACAAGUCCUAUGUGUAGUAUCCAUGCGUCAAUUUGUUGCGGUCGCUUAUCACUGAUGCCAGCUAGCGUUGACGAGAUGACACUCGUGAUGAUGUGCCACACUCUCCUUCGUACUCUCAGUGGUGCGCUACAACAAGUUGUGCUUGGAACCACUCCACAUAGGAUGUGUCUGUGGUCCGGUUUGUGUUCGUGCGCCUUCAUAAAGGGACUACCGGGAUACAACUCGGGGGAGGCGCAGCAAUAGCAGGUCAGUGAUGCCCUUAGAUGUUCUGGGCUGCACGCGCGCUACAAUGGUAACGACAAUGAGUCUCUACACCGAAAGGUGCGGGUAAUCUUGUCAAUCGUUGCCGUGCUGGGGAUUGAGCCUUGAAAUUAUUGCUCAUGAACCUGGAAUUCCUCGUAAGUACGAGUCACAAGCUCGUGCUGAAUACGUCUCUGCCCUUUGUACACACCGCCCGUCGCUACUACCGAUCGAAUGAUUUGGUGAGGACAUGGGAUCGAUCGGCGCCGCCUUGUGUGUGCGCUGACUGAGAGCCUGUCCAAGCUGCAUCAG